CCUACGGGAGGCAGCAGUGGGGAAUAUUGGGCAAUGGGCGAAAGCCUGACCCAGCAACGCCGCGUGAAGGAAGAAGGCCCUCGGGUUGUAAACUUCUUUUGUCAGGGACGAAGCAAGUGACGGUACCUGACGAAUAAGCCACGGCUAACUACGUGCCAGCAGCCGCGGUAAUACGUAGGUGGCAAGCGUUAUCCGGAUUUACUGGGUGUAAAGGGCGUGUAGGCGGGAGUGCAAGUCAGAUGUGAAAACUAUGGGCUCAACCCAUAGCCUGCAUUUGAAACUGUACUUCUUGAGUGAUGGAGAGGCAGGCGGAAUUCCCUGUGUAGCGGUGAAAUGCGUAGAUAUAGGGAGGAACACCAGUGGCGAAGGCGGCCUGCUGGACAUUAACUGACGCUGAGGCGCGAAAGCGUGGGGAGCAAACAGG
rnacentral:rRNA from 1 species